UGCAAACUGCCUUUCUCUGAGCUGUGCCAGUUCCCAGGCUCUGCCCAGUGACUGUUGUGAGAAUUCGAACUGGGCCAGGCUGAAAGCACUGUUUUUAGAAUUUAGCAGUGUACAAGUUGUGUGUGUGACCAUAUGCCAUUUUUUUUUUUGUUUUCAAAAUGAAUUAUGAGCUUGCACUGUGGCUGUAGGAUUUACUUUGAUGCAUUGGAUGGGAGAUGACAGAUACAUCUAAAGCCCUUUCUCUUGUUUUUUGUUCCCUUUAGAUCAAAUCACUUCUUUAGAUCAAAUUCAAGCCAAAGCACACAGGUGUGCCUUGGCAACAUGCUCAUUCUGUACAAAUAAUUACAAGGGUGCAUACAGUCAUAACCUCUUCCCUACUCUGUUGAGGACUAUGGAAAGAAUGGGCCUAGUUAUAUGGGAACUGCUGAAUCACGGCCUGAACCUCUGAUUGAUCACCUGAUGAGUCAGCCCUUGGAGCACAGAUGAAGGCAAUUCACCCUGCUGCCGAAAGGAGUGGAGCUUGGUUCUGCUUCUCCUAGACCCCAUUUAAGAGCUGACUACCAGACUUUUUCAGUGUGCCUAAGACAAGGCUUCUUCUGAACUGAACGCAGCAAAUUACACAGAGUAAAGCAGAACCCGAGACUGCCUACAUCAAGUCUUCUGAAAAGGACCACUCAUCUACUUCAUGACACGAGAAGAUGAUUCAGCAUUUUGUUUGUAGUGACUUCCAAUGUCAAAUUACAUCAGCUCAGAAGAUCCAUAUGUUCCACCUUGCCAGUUUGUGGCAUCAGCCUCCCGAUCAAAAAGAAGGUGAAGCGCUCUUGUGUCAGCCAAAAGCUGAUUUUGAGGAUGGGAAGAUAAUGCACUGAAAUUUCUAAUAGUAACAAGAAGACUUCAAAGAAACCUGCAGGUAAAGUACUCUUCUUCUUCAGUAGAUAUUUGCUCUGCCUCAAAUUUUCCAAGUUGGUAGGUAGAGGUUCCGUUUUAAAGGGAAUGUGCAAGAGAUUGUGCUGGCAAGGAGAUCUCAAGUCGUCAGAUGCUCUGGUUCCUUGAGAAAACCUUUCCUGCAUUAAAAUUCACAGGUGAAUUCUAGAAAAUAAACCUUGGGAGAAAAAAAAAAAAAACCA
rnacentral:lncRNA from 1 species